rnacentral:lncRNA from 1 species
GUCAAAUUUAUGUAUAUAAAGCUAACUGUUCCUAGUAUUUAUUUAUUAUAUUUUCUUUGUCUGCUGGAUCUGUUGUGAAAUCCUUUGCUUGAUUCCUGAUAUUGAUAGUAUUUGUCUACUUUUUCUUAUUCUUUGUCAGUCUUGCUAGAUGUAGCCAAUUAAAUUCAUCUUUUCAGAAAAUGAACUUUUAGUUUCAUUGAUUUUUCUCUAUAGUUUUCUAUUUUCCAAUUUAUUGAUUUCUGCUCUUUAUUUUCUUCCUUCUACUUAUUUUAAAUUUAUUCUAUUAUUAUUUUUCUCUAGGUGGGUGACAUGGAAGCUUAGAUUAUUGAUUUUAUUUUUAUUUUUUCUAAUGUAUGCAUUUUAGUGCUAUAAAAUUUUCUUUCAGUACUGCUUGAGUUGUAUUUCACUAUUGUUAUAUAUUGUGUUUUCAUUUUUACUUAAUUCAGUGAAUUUUUUUAUUUCCUUAGAGACUUCCUUUUUGACCCAUAGAUUAUUUGAAAGUGUGAGAGCAUGUUGUUUAGUUUCCAAUAUUUGGAGAUAUUUUUGUUAUCAUUUUGUUAAUGAUGUUUCAUUAGAUUCCAUUGUAGUCAGAAAACAUACUAUGUAGGAUUUGAAUUUUUAAAAAUUUAUUAAGGUUUACUCUAUGGCGCAGGAUGUGAUCUGCCUUGGCAUAUGUUCUGUGGGCGUUUGAAAAGAAAAUGUAUUUUGCUAUUGUUUGGCAGAGUGCUUAAAAAAUGUUGGUUAGAUCCUGUUGGUAGAUGUGGUUGAUAAGUUAGUUUAUAUCCUUGCUAAUUUUCUGUUCUAUCAGUUGCUCAGAGAGGGGUUUUGAAAUCUUUUAUUGUAAUUGUGGGUUUGUCUGUUCCUCCUUUCAUUCUAUAAAUUUCUGCUUCAUGUUUUACAGCUCUAUGAUGGUGAAAACAUGUUACUCUUCUUGGUAAAUUGACUAUUUUUUCAUUAUGUAAUGUCUCUCUGUGUCAAGUAAAUUUUUUUGCUCUAAAGUCAGUUUCAGCUGAUAUUAAUAUGGCUACUCCUACAUUAUUUUGAUUAAUGCUUGGAUGAUAUGUUUUUUCCCCCAAUCUUUAAAUUUCAGCCUGC